UUGCUUUGGCAGCACACAUACUAAAAUUAGAACAAUACAGAGAAGAUUGGUAUGGCCCCUGCACAAGGAUGACAUGCAAAUUCAUUAAGUGUUCCAUAUUUUU